UACGUAGGGUGCGAGCGUUAAUCGGAAUUACUGGGCGUAAAGCGUGCGCAGGCGGUUCGUUGUGUCGGCGGUGAAAGCCCCGGGCUCAACCCUGGGAAUGCCGUUGAAACUGGCGAACUGGAGUGUGGCAGAGGGGGUGGAAUUCCGCGUGGUAGCAGUGAAAUGCGUAGAGAUGCGGAGGAACACCGAUGGACGAAGGCAGCCCCCUGGGCUGACACUGACCGCUCAGGCACGAAAGCGUGGGGAGCAAACAGG
rnacentral:rRNA from 1 species